CUGUUUUAUGCGUCAGAUGUGAAAGUCCUGGGCGUCAACCUGGGGAUUGCAUUUGAUACGAAUAAGACUAGAGCUUAUAAGGGGAGAAUGGAAUUGCUCAUGUAGAAGUGAAAUUCGUAGAUAUGAGCAGGAACACCAAUGGCGAAGGCAAUUCUCUGGCAUUAACCUGUCGCUGAGGCGCGAAAGCGUGGGGAGCAAACAGGAUUAGAUACCCUGGUAGUCCACGCUGUAAACGAUGGAUGCUAGAUGUUGGGUUCUUACGAACUCAGUGUCGCAGCUAACGCAUUAAGCAUCCCGCCUGGGGAGUACGGUCGCAAGAUUAAAACUCAAAGAAAUUGACGGGGACCCGCACAAGCGGUGGAGUAUGUGGUUUAAUUCGAUGAUACGCGAGGAACCUUACCAGGGCUUAAAUGUAACGGGACAGAUCUAGAGAUAGAUCCUUCUUCGGACUCAUUACAAGGUGCUGCAUGGUU
rnacentral:rRNA from 1 species